rnacentral:rRNA from 1 species
UGGACUGCUAAGAAGAGAGAAUGCCGGAAUGAGUAGCGAGAGCAAGGUGAGAAUCCUUGCGGCCGAAUAUCCAAGGUUUCCAGAGUAAAGCUGAUCUGCUCUGGGUAAGUCGGGGCCUAAGGAGAGGCAGAGAUGCGUAUCCGAUGGACAGCAGGUUUAAGAUUCCUGCACCCCUUGUUAUCAGAACUGCGGGGACACGGGAAGGGAAGCAGAGCCGGGAAUGGAAAGCCCGGUGCAAGCGAAGUAGUCGCAGGGUUGGAAAAUCCGCCCUGCAUAAGACGAAGGCGUGAUGCGGAGCGAAAUGAAGUAGUGAAGCUGCGGCCCCUUCCUGUCGAGAAAAGCCGCUAUCGUGUAGCAAGGGCCCGUACCGUAAACCGACACAGGUGGAUGAGGAGAGGAUCCUAAGGCCGGCGGGAGAAGUGUUGUUAAGGAACUCGGCAAAAUGACUCCGUAACUUCGGGAGAAGGAGUGCUGCGCAAGCAGCCGCAGAGAAAUGGCCCAAGCAACUGUUUAGCAAAAACACAGGUCUAUGCGAAACCGAAAGGUGAGGUAUAUGGGCUGACGCCUGCCCGGUGCUGGAAGGUUAAGGGGAGAGCUUAGCGCAAGCGAAGGUUUGAACUUAAGCCCCAGUAAACGGCGGCCGUAACCAUAACGGUCCUAAGGUAGCGAAAUUCCUUGUCGGGUAAGUUCCGACCCGCACGAAAGGCGUAAUGAUUUGGGCACUGUCUCAACAACACACCCGGUGAAAUUGAAAUACCAGUGAAGAUGCUGGUUACCCGCGCCAGGACGGAAAGACCCCAUGGAGCUUUACUCCAGCCUGAUACUGGGAUUCGGUAUUGCAUGUACAGGAUAGGUGGGAGGCUAAGAACUCAUGGCGCCAGCCGUGAGGGAGCCGAUGUUGGGAUACCACCCCUGCAGUACUGGGUUUCUAACCUGCGCCCGUGACCCGGGCGGGGGACAAUGUCAGGCGGGGAGUUUGACUGGGGCGGUCGCCUCCGAAAGGGUAUCGGAGGCGCUCAAAGGUCUCCUCAGGAUGGUUGGAAACCAUCCAGAGAGUGCAAAGGCAGAAGGAGGCUUGACUGCGACACCGACGGGUGGAGCAGGUACGAAAGUAGGACUUAGUGAUCCGGUGGCAUAAAGUGGGAUUGCCAUCGCUCAACGGAUAAAAGCUACCCUGGGAUAACAGGCUUAUCACUCCAAGAGUUCACAUCGACGGAGUGGUUUGGCACCUCGAUGUCGGCUCAUCGCAUCCUGGAGCUGGAGCAGGUUCCAAGGGUUGGGCUGUUCGCCCAUUAAAGCGGUACGCGAGCUGGGUUCAGAACGUCGUGAGACAGUUCGGUCCCUAUCCGGCGCGGGCGCAGGAUAUCUGAGAGGAGCUGUCCUUAGUACGAGAGGACCGGGAUGGACCGUCCGCUGGUGGACCGGUUGUCAUGCCAAUGGCACGGCCGGGUAGCCAAGACGGGAAGGGAUAAACGCUGAAGGCAUCUAAGCGUGAAGCCCCCCUCAAGAUGAGAUAUCCAUACUCGAAAGAGUGAGAGACCCCUUAGAGACGAUGAGGUAGAUAGGGCAGAGAUGGAAGUGCAGCGAUGCAUGGAGUUGACUGUUACUAAUCGGUCGAAAGCUUGAAAAG